GUAAUUAUUCAUUAAAGUAAGAACAGCAGCAAUUUACAUCUAUGUAGAGUACUACAGGCAGACAGACAUUUGUGUUUGUUGAUUGUUUUUGUUUUUGUGGGGGGUUUUUUUGUGGUUCACUUCCCCCCCUCCCUCCAACCUCGGGUGCUGGGAGUUCAAGUGUCCCUGGAAAACAACUUCACCACAUCCAUUAUUUAAAGCUCUUUCUUUACUAAUUUACACGCUUAAGAAAUACACAAAGCCGUAGAUAUUUAAAACAUGGGCCUUUUUUAUGCCUUCUAUAAAAAUACAUGGUUUAAGGCAGCUUGGAAACGCAUUUAUACAAUUCUACAACGUUCGUAAAGUCUCUCCAAAUAAGAAAGUUAACUUCAAAUCUAUAAAAUACACUGUACAUUUGAUGUUCUAGAGAAUACUUCACUGAAUCAUUGUUGCUGGUAUCCCUUUAAACAUAAAAUGAAAUCUGUACCUUUCCAGAAAAGAAUAGCAAAUGCAAUUAUCUGACAAAUAGGAUGUGGAUUUAAAAUUUUUAUUUUUUAAAUAAAUUAUUCUCAAAGCAUACAAUUUAUAAAAUUCUAUAUACAAAAAAGAGCAACUGGUAACAAAUCCCAGUUUUAAAUACAUUUUUAUAUAAGAUUUACCAGAGGUCAGCACCCUGAUAUGACGAGAGGCAAUAUAACUUUUCAGGAUAUUUGUACAUACAUGCUCUUGAGUUUAAAAGUGUCUUUCAAAGAUGGCAGUGCAGAGCUCUUUUAAAACAAAAGUUGCAUUGUUCAGUAUAGCCAACAACUCUGAAAAAAAUCAGCAUUUUUUUGUCGUUAGGUUAAAGAGACUUUUGCUGGCAGGCUUUUGUUGUAGGGAAGACGCGUGUGCAAGAGGGAGUGCUGUAAACUAUUAAAAUUAAAUCAGACUGUUAUUUUCUCAGAUUUAAUUGAAGGCAGUUGCGGUAUAACCCUCUUUUGGGCAUCACUGCGCCGUGACUAGUGAUACUUGAUGAAAGAUAACCAAGUUGUUAACUAACCAGUAUGGCAACAGUUUCGGCAGCAAGUUUGGACAGCUCACCUCUUUCUAACCUUCAUGUCAAACGCUAAAAAACAACCAUCAGCAUAUCAUCAUUUCUGUUUCCUUUUGGGGCUGGUGGUGGUAGGGAACCUACAGUAGCUUCGCCAGCCGCCUCUCUUGUUAGGUCCUC
rnacentral:lncRNA from 1 species